GACGAACGCUGGCGGCGUGCCUAAUACAUGCAAGUUGAGCGCUGAAGGUUGGUACUUGUACCGACUGGAUGAGCAGCGAACGGGUGAGUAACGCGUGGGGAAUCUGCCUUUGAGCGGGGGACAACAUUUGGAAACGAAUGCUAAUACCGCAUAAAAACUUUAAACACAAGUUUUAAGUUUGAAAGAGGCAAUUGCAUCACUCAAAGAUGAUCCCGCGUUGUAUUAGCUAGUUGGUGAGGUAAAGGCUCACCAAGGCGAUGAUACAUAGCCGACCUGAGAGGGGGGUCGGCCACAUUGGGACUGAGACAAGGCCCAAACUCCUACGGGAGGCAGCAGUAGGGAAUCUUCGGCAAUGGACGAAAGUCUGACCGAGCAACGCCGCGUGAGUGAAGAAGGUUUUCGGAUCGUAAAACUCUGUUGGUAGAGAAGAACGUUGGUGAGAGUGGAAAGCUCAUCAAGUGACGGUAACUACCCAGAAAGGGACGGCUAACUACGUG
rnacentral:rRNA from 1 species